rnacentral:rRNA from 1 species
UACAGAGGUGCCGAGCGUUAGGCGGAAUCACUGGGCUUAAAGCGCGUGUAGGCGGAAGCGUAAGUACCUUGUGAAAUCCCACGGCUCAACCGUGGAACUGCUGGGUAUACUGCGUUUCUUGAGCCAUUUAGGGGCGAGUGGAACGGAUGGUGGAGCGGUGAAAUGCAUAGAUAUCAUCAGGAACGCCUGUGGUGAAGACGACUCGCUGGGAAUGUGCUGACGCUGAGACACGAAAGCCAGGGGAGCAAACGGG